rnacentral:rRNA from 1 species
UACAGAGGGGGCGAGCGUUGUCCGGAUUUAUUGGGCGUAAAGAGCUCGUAGGCGGCCGUGCAAGUCGGACGUGAAAACCCAGAGCUCAACUCUGGGAUGCCGUUCGAUACUGCUCGGCUAGAGGCAGGUAGGGGAAAGUGGAAUACCUGGUGUAGCGGUGAAAUGCGUAGAUAUCAGGUGGAACACCGGUGGCGAAGGCGGCUUUCUGGGCCUCGCCUGACGCUGAGGAGCGAAAGCUGGGGGAGCGAACAGG